rnacentral:rRNA from 1 species
GACGAACGCUGGCGGCGUGCCUAAUACAUGCAAGUCGAGCGAACCAAUAGGAGCUUGCUCCUGUUGGUUAGCGGCGGACGGGUGAGUAACACGUGGGCAACCUGCCUGUAAGACUGGGAUAACACCGGGAAACCGGUGCUAAUACCGGAUAAUCCUUUUCCUCUCAUGAGGAAAAGCUGAAAGACGGUUUCGGCUGUCACUUACAGAUGGGCCCGCGGCGCAUUAGCUAGUUGGUGAGGUAACGGCUCACCAAGGCGACGAUGCGUAGCCGACCUGAGAGGGUGAUCGGCCACACUGGGACUGAGACACGGCCCAGACUCCUACGGGAGGCAGCAGUAGGGAAUCUUCCACAAUGGACGAAAGUCUGAUGGAGCAACGCCGCGUGAGCGAUGAAGGCCUUCGGGUCGUAAAGCUCUGUUGUUAGGGAAGAACAAGUACCGGAGUAACUGCCGGUACCUUGACGGUACCUAACCAGAAAGCCACGGCUAACUACGUGCCAGCCGCCGCGGUAACAC